GGUUUCAUGGUAUAGUGGUUGUCAUGUCUGCUUUACAUGCCGAAGAUUCCAGGUUCUAUUCCCAGUGGAACCA